CUGUUGUAUGGGAAGAACAGCUAGAAUAGGAAAUGAUUUUAGUUUGACGGUACCAUACCAGAAAGGGACGGCUAAAUACGUGCCAGCAGCCGCGGUAAUACGUAUGUCCCGAGCGUUAUCCGGAUUUAUUGGGCGUAAAGCGAGCGCAGACGGUUUAUUAAGUCUGAUGUGAAAGCCCGGAGCUCAACUCCGGAAUGGCAUUGGAAACUGGUUAACUUGAGUGCAGUAGAGGUAAGUGGAACUCCAUGUGUAGCGGUGGAAUGCGUAGAUAUAUGGAAGAACACCAGUGGCGAAGGCGGCUUACUGGACUGCAACUGACGUUGAGGCUCGAAAGUGUGGGUAGCAAACAGGAUUAGAUACCCUGGUAGUCCACACCGUAAACGAUGAACACUAGGUGUUAGGAGGUUUCCGCCUCUUAGUGCCGAAGCUAACGCAUUAAGUGUUCCGCCUGGGGAGUACGACCGCAAGGUUGAAACUCAAAGGAAUUGACGGGGACCCGCACAAGCGGUGGAGCAUGUGGUUUAAUUCGAAGCAACGCGAAGAACCUUACCAGGUCUUGACAUCCUUUGAAGCUUUUAGAGAUAGAAGUGUUCUCUUCGGAGACAAAGUGACAGGUGGUGCAUGGUCGUCGUCAGCUCGUGUCGUGAGAUGUUGGGUUAAGUCCCGCAACGAGCGCAACCCUUAUUGUUAGUUGCCAGCAUUCAGAUGGGCACUCUAGCGAGACUGCCGGUGACAAACCGGAGGAAGGCGGGGACGACGUCAGAUCAUCAUGCCCCUUAUGACCUGGGCUACACACGUGCUACAAUGGCGUAUACAACGAGUUGCCAACCCGCGAGGGUGAGCUAAUCUCUUAAAGUACGUCUCAGUUCGGAUUGUAGUCUGCAACUCGACUACAUGAAGUCGGAAUCGCUAGUAAUCGCGGAUCAGCACGCCGCGGUGAAUACGUUCCCGGGUCUUGUACACACCGCCCGUCACACCAUGGGAGUUUGUAAUGCCCAAAGCCGGUGGCCUAACCUUUAGGAAGGAGCCGUCUAAGCAGGACUGAGCUUGGC
rnacentral:rRNA from 1 species